AACCAUAGAAACCUGCGGAGUACCUGCGGAGGGAUCAUUAAAAAGAUCGACCCAACAUAUGGACGAUCAAAUCCAUAUCCACCUUGUGUGCACUUAUUGACCGUUCGCUUUGGCAGGAGUUGUCUUCGAUCCGGCCCAACCCCUAAAAUUUAUUAGGGAGGGGGAGGGAUCGAAGCGGCGAGGGGGAAUAGUCCACCUCGGCCUGCCAGAGUUUUUCCCUUUAAAAGGGAAAAGAAAUAU
rnacentral:misc_RNA from 1 species